rnacentral:rRNA from 1 species
AUGUUAAAGGACAGGUCCGUUGUCUUUACGGGGUCGUGGGAGUCGGCCGGAGAUGACCUGAAGUCUCCAAAGAGUUACAAAUAAUUAUUCUAGUCGAAUAGUGUUGAAUAACUAACCAUAGAAGGUGGUAGUCCUGUAGGCGAAAGAAUAAUUACUCUUGUCGAAUUUCCCGAGUAACGCGGGACACGAGAAAUCCUGUGUGAAUCUGGGUGGACCAUCAUCCAAGGCUAAAUACUCCUCUGUAACCGAUAGUGAACUAGUACCGUGAGGGAAAGGUGAAAAGUACCCCUGUUAGGGGCGUGAAAUAGAACCUGAAACCGUAUACCUACAAGCAGUCGAAGCCAGUAUUUAUAUUGGUGACGGCGUGCCUUUUGUAAAAUGAGCCGGCUAGUUAUUUUCAGUGGCAAGGUUAAGGUGAGGAACCGAAGCCGAAGCGAAAGCGAGUCUUAAUAGGGCGAUUUAGUCACUGGGAAUAGACGCGAAGCGGAGUGAUCUAUCCAUGACCAGGAUGAAGUAUGGGUAAUACCAUACGGAGGUCCGAACCAUUGAAUGUUGAAAAAUUCUUGGAUGAGUUGUGGAUAGGGGUGAAAGGCCAAUCAAACUCCGUGAUAGCUCGUUCUCUCCGAAAUAGCUUUAGGGCUAGCCUCAUAGCAUAUGUAUGGGAGGUAGAUCACUGGAUGGACUAGGGCCCAGAGAUGGGUACUGAAUCCAACUAAAAUCCGAAUACCCAUAACAUUAGCGUGGGAGUCAGAACAUGGGGGAUAAGCUCCUUGUUCGAGAGGGAAACAGCCCAGAUCACCAGCUAAGGUCCCGAAAUUCAUACUAAGUGGAAAAGGAUGUAAAGAUACAAAGACAGCCAGGAGGUUGGCUUAGAAGCAGCCACCCUUUAAAGAAAGCGUAAUAGCUCACUGGUCGAGUGUUUUCGCGCCGAAGAUGUACCGGGGCUCAAGUAUGAUACCGAAGCUGUGGAAUUGUAGAAUUUAUUUUCUAUGAUUGGUAGGAGAGCAUUCCUGAUAGUAGAUCCAGAUCGUAAGGUUUGGUGGUGAUCAGGAAGCGACUCUGCCGGCAUAAGUAGUGAUUAUCCAGGUGAGAACCCUGGACGCCGAAAAUCUAAGGUUUCCUGAGCAAGGUCAGUCCGCUCAGGGUUAGUCGGGUCCUAAGGCGAGGCCGAAAGGCGUAGUCGAUGGAAAGCAGGUCAAUAUUCCUGCACCACUUAAAUAGCGUUAUUACGACGCGGGGACGCAGAAAGCUAGGCAGACCGUACCGUUGGUUGAGUACGGCCGAUUACAAGAAGGGAUCUUUUAAUAUGGAUUCAUUAACUUUGAGGAAGUCGGGGAAAUUCGGUUUUUACCGGAUGAACCUGUUGAUGUUAUACUGCCAAGAAAAGCCGCUAAGGAGUUGUUUAGGUGUCCGUACCGCAAACCGACACAGGUAGAUGGGAUGAGUAUUCUAAGGCGCACGUGUGAAAUUUCCUUAAGGAACUCGGCAAAUUAACUCCGUAACUUCGGAAGAAGGAGUGCCCCGAUAGAGUGAAGUUUAUACUGAGCUUGAGGGGGCCGCAGUGAAUAGGCCCAAACGACUGUUUAUCAAAAACACAGGACUAUGCUAAGACAAAAAAUCGAUGUAUAUGGUCUGACGCCUGCCCGGUGCUGGAAGGUUAAAUGGAACUGUUAUCUACUUCGGUAGAGAAGCUCUGAAAUGAAGCCCCAGUAAACCCGUAACUAUAACGGUCCUAAGGUAGCGAAAUUCCUUGUCGGGUAAGUUCCGACCCGCACGAAAGGCGUAACGAUUUGGGCACUGUCUCAAGGAGAUGCACGACGAAAUUGUAGUACCGGUAAAGAUGCCGGUUACCCGCUGCUGGACAGAAAGACCCCGUGAACCUUUACUGCAACCUAAUAUUGAAUUUUGGUGCAGUAUGUGCAGGAUAGGUGGGAGGCUUUGAAGUGGUAACGCUAGUUAUCAUGGAGCCAUCCUUGGGAUACCACCCUUAUUGUAUUGGAAUUCUAACUUGUGUAGUUAACCUACAUGAAAACAGUGUUAGGCGGGUAGUUUGACUGGGGCGGUCGCCUCCCAAAGAGUAACGGAGGCGCCCAAAGGUAUACUCAAGCUGUUUGGAAAUCAGCUGUAGAGUGCAAAGGCAUAAGUAUGCUUAACUGUGAGAGAGACAUUUCGAACAGAUGGGAAACCAGGGCUUAGUGAUCCGGUGGUUCCGCAUGGAAGGGCCAUCGCUCAACGGAUAAAAGGUACUCCGGGGAUAACAGGCUUAUAGCGUCCAAGAGCUCAUAUCGACGACGCUGUUUGGCACCUCGAUGUCGGCUCAUCACAUCCUGGGGCUGGAGCAGGUCCCAAGGGUUCGGCUGUUCGCCGAUUAAAGUGGUACGUGAGCUGGGUUUAAAACGUCGUGAGACAGUUUGGUCCCUAUCUU